UCCGUGUUCGCUGAAAUAAUGAAAACUUAUUGAUCCCAAAUCAAAGAGUUAUAUGACGUGCCAAAAUAGUCAUCUGUGAAGAUACCCCAAAUACAGGGACGUGCCCAUGAAAACCACAAAUGCUAUAUAUAUCUUGCUCAGUCUGUAGCGCUUGACUAUAGAGUCCGCCCGAGUGGGAAGUUUCUAUGGACCGCUACAGACCAGUUAGGACCUUCUGCCUAGUUUUUGAAAGGUCAUUCGCAUGUGCUGCCACCCGCCGGUUUGGUCAAAACGACACCGGCCGGCUGGUGCACCACCACUGCAUCACAAGUGUUCGACGAAUUGCCAAGGUGAGUUUUUUUUGUCCAUUUCUUUUUAAAUCAAGCCGUUUGAAUUAUAGAUGAAGAGGUUGAGGGAGAUAUUCUUGGAGGACUCGUCGUCAUCCGAAGAGGAAGAAGACGACGAUGACUUUGAAACUGUUUUAGGCAUGACUUCCAAUGAUGAUAUUCGGCGGCCUAGGAGAAGAUCACAAUUUGGCCGCAUACACAUCAACCGUGGUAGAGCAGAGGGCCAUGCCAAGAUCAUGAGAGACUACUUUGAUCCAAAGGCAACCUAUCCGAAGAAGUACUUUCACCGACGCUUUCAGAUGCACACAAGUCUUUUUGGUGUGUCUUUGGUGUGCUUCAAAAGCGAUUUGCAAUUGUUCGUGGUCCUGCCGAGUACUGGAGCUCCAAGGUUCUCUGGCGGAUCAUAAUUUGUUGCAUCAUAUUGCAUAACAUGAUCAUUGAAGACGAGAGGGAUAUGCCUGCGAACUUUCGGUACAUCACCAACGGGACUCCGAUUGAGCCAGAGUGUGAUUCGAACAGGAACCUGACAUUUCUUGAGGAGCAUCACAAGAUAGAGAACCCUCAACUUCAUGCUCAGCUCCAACUAAAUUCAUGAUUUGCUUGAACAUUCGAAUUUAUAUUUAGUUGCUAUAUGUGUGCUAAUACACAGUUGCAAUUUAUACUAGAACUGCAAAGUUUAGAAAAAAUAAAAAUUGUCUCCGUUAUUUAUAGGAGAUCGGCUAGGUCUGGCCAAAACUUAGUGGAGUAAAUUUACUCCACCGGAUACUCCGCUAUUUUUAGGAGAUCGGUUAAAAAUGCCCUAAGAGUAAAAGAGAUUGAAUAGAUGAAUGAAUCAACUGUGCUCUGGAUUUCAUUGGUGUCAGAGUAUAUAUACAUGCCCAAUAGAUGAAUGCAUCUGUACCAGGGAGAGAGCGGAAAAAGUUCCUUUGUGUAGCCUGCUCUGGAUGAAAUCAUUGGUUAAAUUUUUUAUUUAUGUUUUGGAACUGGUUAGGUUCCUUUGUGUAGUCUCGAUACCGCGUUGGCCACUGCCGCGGUGGACUGCGCUGACGACCCCUGAAGACGGGGAGAAGGGGGCGAGAGGGCGGCGGCGAAAACGGAGGGUGCUCUGCUUGCUGGGACGCCGCGUCCGCCGGUGGGUCCUGCCCCGGCCGAUCCUACUUGUACAGGCCGCCAUGCCAAUCAGACCGCGCGUCGGUGCUCAACUGACGGAUGACGCAGAUUCUGUACUUUUGCUGCUACUGUUAUUGCUGUGUCUAGUCCCAUGGAGCGUCUGUUUAUCCUGGUUGUCUAUUUGGGAUACACCACAUUCAGCGAAGGAGCAUCGUAAUGGUUUCUGUACAUUGUGAAUGGGACGCAUAGGUUGAUUUGGGCACAUGAAGGUCGUAGACCGAGGCUCAGAGCAAUGUGUCUUCAGCAGUGCUCUGCACUAAUAAGGUGCAUUGGUCUUCUGCUCUGCUUGCUCAUUCAGAUUAUUUGGACUCUACAUCACCAUUUGGUCUUCUGCUCUGCUUCUACAUUACAUAUGCCCCUCUUAUUAAGUACAGUUAUUUGGCAUCAUCCUUGUCAUUUCUUCUGCAAGACAAACAACGGUGCUGAGAAUUGAGAAAACGAAUGAAAAGAAGAUGCAAAUGCCUGUUCGGUUCCACUCCACUCCGCUCCCGGAGUGGAGCAGGCUGUAGCUCGUUUUCACAUAGCGGCUUAAGCCCAGCUCCACAACUCCGCGGAGUGGAGCGGGUCGGAGUGAUCCCAAACAGGGCAUUUCAUGAAAGAGGGACCAUGUAUGGUAAUGUAAGAAACUAAUGAAGUGAAUAUGUCCUAAUUUCUGUCUUGAAUUUUUUGUAAUACACCUACCAGUUCACCCACAAAGAUACCAUUAGAGAUCGAUAAGUGCAUAUGCCCCAGCUAGGUUCCAAGUAUACUUUAGAAUUUGUCAUUUUUUUCCUAUGAGAAUACUCCCUCCGUUUAUAAACAUAAGCCCUUUUAAAGAUUUCAAUACGGACUACAUACUCAUGUAUAAAGACAUAUUUUAUAGUUACACCAUAUGUAGUCCAUAUUGGAAUCUCUAGAAGGGCUUAUAUUUAGGAACGGAAGGAUUAGUAUCGUUCUCUCCAGUAUUAGUUAGUGUGCCGUGUCCACCAUUAUACGAAUUUGAGAAGUGUGCCGUGUCCUUCACGUGCGAAUGGUUGUUCCCAGUGUCUUCCAUACGGCAAUGACAAAUCUCAUCACAACAAAAAAAAAGACAAGUUCGGGGAUAGCCAUAGUUGAACUUGUCCCAAAGUCCCCGAAAGUUGUGCUUGGCCAUGUGCAAGGCAUAUGUGUGAACAGAUGCUUUAUGAACACAAACAAACCAACCACUCAAGACCUGACUAACCCACCCACAGUAAGUCGAGUUCUUCCUGUAAGAUGUGGGAAUUGCACGAUCACUACUAGAAAAAAGGCUGUUAGUGGCGCACCUAUUUUGGCUAUUAAUGGCGCACUAUAGGUGGGCCACUAUUAUCACGCCACUAGUAACAAAUACUAACGGCGCAUCUCCGGUGCGCCAUUAGUACUGCAGGUAACAGUGGCGCACCUUGUAGUGCGCCAUUACUAUUGCUACAGGUGCGCCACUGGUAACUUUUAUUUGAAUUUUUUUGAAUUUUUUCUGAAUUUUGAAGGCGGGAAAAUAGUAGUGGCGCACCGUCUAACCCCCACCGUGCGCCAUUGCUAUCUUUGAAUUUUGAAUUUUGAUCUGGAUCGCAAUUUUUUUGCCCUUUUUUGCUCGUUUUUUCUGCACGAUAUUUUUUCAAAUUUUGUUCUCGUUUUUGGAUCUUGUACGUUCUUUUGCCGGAGAGGAGUUCGCCAGAGAGGAGGGUCGAGGAGAGACCGUGAGGAGGAGAGGAGGGAGGAGGAGGAGGUCACCGGAGAGGAGCUCGCCUACAUCGUCGGAGAGGAGGAGGUGGUCAUCGGAGAGGAGCUCGCCUACAUCACCGGAGAGGAGGAGGAGAUCGUCGGAGAGGAAUUCACCGGAGAGGAGGGAGGAGAAACGUU